UUCCCCUACGGGACGCAGCAGUGGGGAAUAUUGGGCAAUGGGCGCAAGCCUGACCCAGCAACGCCGCGUGAAGGAAGAAGGCUUUCGGGUUGUAAACUUCUUUUCUCAGGGACGAAGAAAGUGACGGUACCUGAGGAAUAAGCCACGGCUAACUACGUGCCAGCAGCCGCGGUAAUACGUAGGUGGCAAGCGUUAUCCGGAUUUACUGGGUGUAAAGGGAGCGCAGGCGGGACUGCCAGUUGGAUGUGAAAUACCGCAGCUUAACUGCGGAGCUUCAUCCAAACCUGCAGUUCUUUAGUGGAGAA
rnacentral:rRNA from 1 species